rnacentral:rRNA from 1 species
CUUAGCAGCGCGUGGGAACGUGCCCUUUACUACGGAAUAGCCAUUGGAAACGAUGAUUAAUACCUGUAUACUGCCCCAAGGGGUGAAAGAUUUAUCUGCUAAAGGAUCGGCCCGCGUUAGAUUAGGUAGUUGGUAGUGGUAACUGUGCCUACCAAUGCCGACGCAUCUACUAGCUGUGUUUGAGACGGAUGAUCAGCAACACUGGGACUGAGACACGGCCCAGACUUCUACGGAAGGCAGCAGUAGGGAAUCUUGGACAAUGGGCGAAAGCCUGAUCCAGCCAUGCCGCGUGAGUGAUGAAGGCCCUAGGGUUGUAAAGCUCUUUCGCCAGGGAAGAUAAUGACGGUACCUGGUAAAGAAACCCCGGCUAACUCCGUGCCAGCAGCCGCGGUAAUACGAGGGGGGCAAGCGUUGUCCGGAAUCAUUGGGCGUAAAGGGUUCGUAGGCGGACUGACCAGUUGGAAUUGAAAGACCACGGCUUAACCGGGGGAACGGUUUCAAUACUAUUAGUCUUGAGUGAGGUAGAGGUAAGCGGAAUUCCUGCUGUAGCGGUGAAAUGCGUAGAUAUCAGGAGGAACAUCAAAGGCGAAGGCAGCUUACUGCGACUAUACUGACGCUGAGGAAAGAAAGGUGGGGAGCAACAGGUUAGAGACCUGGUAGUCACGCCGUAACGAUGAGACUGGUGUG